CUACGGGGGGCUCCAGUGAGGAAUAUUGGACAAUGGUCGAAAGACUGAUCCAGCCAUGCCGCGUGCAGGAUGACUGCCCUAUGGGUUGUAAACUGCUUUUAUACGGGAAGAAAAACACCUACGUGUAGGUGACUGACGGUACCGUAAGAAUAAGGACCGGCUAACUCCGUGCCAGCAGCCGCGGUAAUACGGAGGGUCCAAGCGUUAUCCGGAAUCAUUGGGUUUAAAGGGUCCGUAGGCGGGCUAUUAAGUCAGAGGUGAAAGUUUGCAGCUCAACUGUAAAAUUGCCUUUGAUACUGAUAGUCUUGAAUUGUAGUGAAGUGGUUAGAAUAUGUGGUGUAGCGGUGAAAUGCAUAGAUAUCACAUAGAAUACCGAUUGCGAAGGCAGAUCACUAACUAUAUAUUGACGCUGAGGGACGAAAGCGUGGGGAGCGAACGGGAUUAGAUACCCUGGUAGUC
rnacentral:rRNA from 1 species